rnacentral:tRNA from 1 species
CGAGCAGUAGCUGAGUGGUAGAGCUCCAGCUUCGCAUGCGGGAAGAACGGGGUUCGAUUCCUGGCUGCUUAC